UCCGUAAUUAGAGUUUGAAUCUGGCUCAGAUUGAACGCUGGCGGCAGGCUUAACACAUGCAAGUCGAGCGGUAGCACAGGGGAGCUUGCUCCCUGGGUGACGAGCGGCGGACGGGUGAGUAAUGUCUGGGAAACUGCCUGAUGGAGGGGGAUAACUACUGGAAACGGUAGCUAAUACCGCAUAACGUCGCAAGACCAAAGAGGGGGACCUUCGGGCCUCUUGCCAUCAGAUGUGCCCAGAUGGGAUUAGCUAGUAGGUGGGGUAAUGGCUCACCUAGGCGACGAUCCCUAGCUGGUCUGAGAGGAUGACCAGCCACACUGGAACUGAGACACGGUCCAGACUCCUACGGGGAGGCAGCA
rnacentral:rRNA from 1 species